CUAUGAUGCUGAUUGUUUUCACAGGUGUUGGCACCAUAUGAAUUAAAUGAAGAAAAAAAUGGUGAAACAUUUAUGACUCAUUAGAAUUAUGUGGUUUUCUAUCCUGUCCUAACAACUGAAAAAAGGUGUAAUUUACAUUUGCAGCCAAAUGGCGUGAAGUAACAUUAUACUUCACCGACAUGAAAAGAGGAGACUUCCAGAUGACUACUAUUCCAAACUUCUCUAGUUCUCAAAUCCUGGAUUUUCAGUUUUUCAUGUGGACUUUUGAGACCUAAAAUUAUUGCCCCAUAAAAAAAUUCUAGAAGGAAUAUGGUAACUUUGAAUCCAUGGAACAUGUGGUUUCAAGGAGCUAAGUGCUGUUCACUACAAGGAACACCUUUAUAGUCAGAAUAUUUCUCCUUUUCGUCAAAGAAUACACUUGAUGGAUCCAAAGAAAGCCACAUCCGCAGGGUUUUGUUAAUAAAUUAAACUCUGCAUCCUCCUUUUCCUCUCUCCUCUUCAGAGUUUAAGUUUUUCUAUCAAGAUUGUUUUGUUGCAGAUCUUAAAUAUUUACAUGCAGGAGGUAUCCUGACAAGCAGAUCUAUAGCAGGAAAGCAACAAAUAAACAGAUCCACAUCUACAGUAUUUUAGAUUCUGGUUUCCUGAGCUGCUAAGUGUUUAUUUUUCUUAUUGUGGAAACCUGCACUGAAAUACAGUCAAAAUGGAGUUCACAUGGCAGCUUUCAUGCACUAUCUAAUGUUUGAACAAAGCCUUAGUAUACACUGAGUAGUUGGCUAAAACUGAAAGCAGCUGAUUUAUCAGAGCCUCGGUGCUGCAGAUGAACCUUCAGCAAAAGAACAUGUCGUACUUUGCAACUGAGGCUUUUUUGCAGACACCUAAUAAACCAGAGAAAGAAAGUUUUACUGGGCUUCACGAGCACAUUUUUCUCUCUCGACAGAGCACCAAACCUAGUUUGUAAUCCUACUUGCAUUUAUUUCAUGCUCCCUUGAAAUUUCCCAUAGCACAAACUUGCUCAAUCCUGGCUGGCGAAUUUGCAUCUCACAGCCUGCGGUAUCUCUUUAGGAGGUGAACUAUUAAAAAUACAUUAGCCUGGUGUGGAUGGUAAUGGGCCAAAUGCUGCUGGUUUUGAAGGCAGUCUGGGAAGCCUCAUGCUCUCUCUGACUCCUGAUAGCUGUGCAAGCAAGUCAUUUGCUUUUGCUGUCCUUGGACUUUAAGAGUUCUAGCAACAGAUGUAGGUGAGAUGAUUUUCUCCUGAAAGUCUGGAUUGAGAAAAGCACUUUUCUUCCUUUCCAAGCUUGCUCUAAUCUUUAACGUUACCACUAUUUCUGUCUUGCCAGAACUGUGUCCUAUUAGCAUCCAAAAAUGUUACACAUACCUUUGGCUUGCUUACAGAAGAUGAUCCAACUGCUAACAUUUGCCUUCUGUAGCCGAAUGCUGAAAGAAAAAAUAAUCCACCUUUGAAACGUGAGACUUUGCUGCUGUCAGUUUCUGGAGCUGAUUAUUAGGGCUGCAAUUUUUAUCUACUCGCUUGUACAGUAAUUAAAAGCAAUUCCCUCAUCAGUUAUCAUCCUGCGAAGCCAGCUUUUUAAGCAGUGCUUGAUGUACAGUUUAUUAACCCAAGCCCACGUUGAAGGAAAGGUGACAUAGUUUAAAAAGAAAGAAUGAACACAUCUGCUCUGAAAUAAAGAGCAGAAUGUGAAUAGGUGCUUAUUUUUAAUCUAGAAAAAAAUGGCAAUGGGAUUUUAAUUGUCAAAGUAGGAGUAAUGGCCUCUCUUGGGACAUGGCGUACACUUUCAUUCUGUCCACUUCUGGCUGUGUCCUUUUUAUGGGGUUUCUUUUUCAUGUGGAUGUAUCCAUGGUUGAAGGAAACCAAGAGUCAAGUACUGUGGCAUGCUGAAUAGGAAAGGCUGAUCUUGCUCCUGAUGGUCUUUGCCACACCUUCUAGCAGGCAUUGAUGAGCACAAAUGCCAAUCAGUGUCAGCUCUAGAUCCAAGAUAUUUGUUAUUACCUGAAUAUUCUUCCUCUACCACCAGCACUGUAGCUGAGGACAUCUUUAUUGCAGGAAAGAGAUGUCAAAUAAGAGGUAGUGGAGGUCAGGAUAUUUACCUGGGAUAACAUUCCUAGAUGGGUGCUGGAGACAAAACAUUCAGCUGAAUGAUGGCAAACUGAAAGCGAGCACAACUAUGGAUCUACCACAUUGGGCUUUUCUUGACCACUGAAAAUGAUGUGGAACCUUCUGACAAUGCUUAAAGAUUAGAAAAAACAGGCAUUUAGAGGGGAAAAUUGAAAGUGGAGCAGAAGCCCCCUAAAAUAUUGCAGACCACCUAAAGUGCUGGUGCCUGAGAAAGGGGUGUAGAAAUAGCAAUUAAAGAUGCAACUUGCAGCAUUUACUGAUGGAGCCCUAGCAUAGACAGAAGGGGAAACAGUGAGAUAAAAAGUGCCUGCUAACUCUGCUCCUCCAAGUGAGCUGUUCAGGGCAGUCCAACAGAAGAGCGUGGUGUGUGACAGGCAGUAAAGCAGUUUGUGACCCAUGGUCAGCCAGAGAGAAAGGAGUGAGUGCUGCAGGAGACUGUGCCCAUGCCAGCCAUGCUAGGAAGUGAAUGAAGAACUGUAUGGACUUUGUUUUAAAUGGAACUGAACAGUAAUCCCAGGAGAUUUAAGAGCUGAGAUCAUGCAGUGGAUACAUAUUUCACACCUGGGGAUAGAGACAUGCCUGAGAUGAGCCAGGAAAUGUAUCUACAGGCCAGGCAUGAAUACCCAGUUGAAAGCAUACAUGGAACAGUGCAAGCUGUGCAAAGAAUAUAGUGAUUGACAAGAAACGCCUCAUGAAAUCCCAGCCCAGUCCCGGGAAAAGGUCAGAACAGACUUGUUUGUUUCUAAUGAAAGAAGCUUUAUGGCCACAGUAGAUUACUAACCCUGUUUUUGGAAGGUGCACAGAUGAAAAUGAUGGUCAGAAAACCGAACACACGUUUUGAGAUGUGCUAUACCUCACUCACUGGGACUUGGCGAGAGGCUCCCAAUACCCUUCGUUUAAGCGUUUGAACAUUUUGGUGCUUUUAAGAACUUCAGCAUAUGAUUUAUGUCCCUGAAAAUACACAACAGAAUAGGAAGAUGGCAUCAGCCUUGACGGCAGCCAAGAAACUGAGGGCAGUAUUAGACAGAUAAUGAGGGUGUUUGGCCUGGUUAUUUUGAACUUCAUAAAUACAAAAUGCUCCCCUAGUUUAAAUAGAGACAUGUACUCAGACAGUGGCCUUGCAUUCUAGGGAAUCAUGUCUGCUAAAGCCUGGGGCAAAAACAAUCUUUACAAUUCUUAGUAAAGUAAGUAAAUAAGUACCUAGACCCCAGAGAUUCCUGUGCGCAGGAAGGUAUGUAUGAAAUUAGCCAUGAAUUAUUAUGAAAAGUAAUAGCAAAAAAUGUUGUCGAAGGGUGCAGAAUGUGAAAUGAGUAGAACAAGCUGGUAAAAUGAAACUUGAGGCACCAUGCUGUGACUGGAAUCAAAGAUAGCACCAGGGAAUCACAGUCUGUUAGGCGCAUGUAAGCAAGACAAAGAAGAUGUGUAGUGUGUGAUCAAUGUAGAGGAUCAAUAUGACUGAUCCUUUGAGUACCCUCACUAGUAACAGAAAACAGGGAGGUUGAUCAGUACUGGGAAAAGUUGGUGGCUUCUUCAUUGGUACCUGAGUGUAGUUUUAUCUGACACAAACUCGCCUGCCUGGCAUCCAUUUGCUACCCGAUGGAGUGUCAGUCUGCUUUAGGUCCUGCGUCAUAUCUGCUAUUCCUGUACAGAUGUCUUGGAUGCCUUAGGGCCUCUCAAAUGGCACUGGGCACCUGUGCGUUGGGCAGAGGGAUCUGGCCUUCACUUUUCGAAGCAGCGUGCUCUUCAAGGGCUACAAAAGUGUGGUGAGAGCCAACUACGGCAGUGAUGAGCAAGUUGGAGAAAUCUUUAAGCAGAAGGAUUGAGGUGUUUUGGUUUGGUUGGAAGACUGCACUAGCUUGCCAGAGGGAAUUCGGAGGAAACCCAGAACGUUUUCCCAAAGGGAAGGUGCUGCCAGUUAAGAUUCUUCAAGGGGAGAAGGAACUUGAGGACUGGCUGAGGGACCUGAGAUUGUUUGGCCUGGUGAAGAGGAGGCUGAGGGGAGACCUCGUCACUCUUUACAACUACCUAAAAGAAGGUUGUGGUGAGAAAAUGAUUGAAAUCUUCAUUAAAGUUCCUGGAUGGAUAACUCAUGUUUAUCUUCGCAAGUCCUGGAGGAACAACUGUAGAUUCCCCUGCCUUGCUUCACCUCCUAGGCUGAUCCUUCCUGUGUGUGUCGUGCGUAAGGAGCUCUGUUUGAUUACCACGCUACUCUUCUGUUGAGAUUGUCCAAGAAUAUGAAUAGUAAAGGUCAGAGGUGUUAGAUGUAUGCUUUUGCUCAUCUCGGUGCAGUGUUAAAUACUGACAAAUUUCUUGUACAAGCUUUCAUAUUGUGGAUGUCCAUCACAAAACAACACUUUCUGCUCUGUUUACACCAGAAGACAAUUGGAACUUGUGUGUGAUCCCAGAUCCUCCUGGCAGUUCAUACAGACGUCUGAGCAGAGGCUGCUGUUGCACAGACAGCUGGGAGGUGCGCUUUCUUACACAGAGAAGGAAGAAUGUGGGAAUAAGUAAACAAAAGGACCACAAAUGCUCACCCUAGGGAACCGUGGAAUUGACACUGGAAAACAAACAACUCAGUAUGUCCCCAGAAGGAGAGGACAUGGGUUCAAGCCACACAUAACUGCAGAUUUCAGAGGCUUGAGCUCAGGUAAGACUCUGGAUUACGUGAAAUUUGUAAGGGAAGUACAGGAAAUCUACAGUGACUUCAUGUGUUUAAAAUCUGUUCUCAAUCAAAUGAAGACAAAUUGGUUUCCACAGGGAAAAAAAAAGUCCUUGAAGGGAUUCCCAGAAUUUUGAAUGAAGAGGCUUUUAAAAAUUCAAGUUUAAGAUGUUACUGUGCUGGAAAAAUAUUUCACGCUGAGGCAGGACCUGAAUUUAAUGGUAAAAGUCCUACAAAAAUAUUCUACAUACAGAUGCUUACCGCAUAAUAUGAUUACCUUUUUCUGGUUUUUAUUCUAGAACAACCAUGUCUGCAGAAGGAAUUAUUCAGUAAGAAUGCUGCUUUUAUUCUUGAAUAAUUCCAUGUGCAUUCAAGCCUUUAGUCAGAUCGGCACAACUCUGUAUGUAGAUGAGUUGUCAGUCUCUCCCUGCUUGCAUUUACAGGGAAUCUGUAUCUCUGUUACUAAACGCAGCUGACAGAUCUGAAAACAUCACAUUUGUUUGCAGAAUAAGCAUAGAUUUUACAAGCUCGCACCCUUAUUAACCUACUGUUUCUUGUGUCCUUUGGAGGUUUCAUGAACUGCAUGUUCUUCAUAUUUUGUGUUAAAAGUCAUUAGUAAACUAAUAAGUACUAUGGAGACAGGACAACCUUUUUAUUCCCUUGAUUGUUGAAUAGCCAAAAGGGAAAGGUUUUGAGUGUAACAGUCCAUCAACUUAUAUAAAAGUCCAGGAGAAGAAAGCAAAGUUGCUUUUCUUUUGGGGAAAAUAAAAAUAAAAUAAAAAAAAGUAAAAAGCUGUUCACCCAGUUAAAAAACCCCAUCAUGUUAGACCUUUCAACUAUCAAAUUUUUCUUUACUUCACGUGGUCUGACUAUUUGUGUUUGUCACCUGUGUUUGCCUAGUUCUGUCAUGAGUGCUUUCUCCACGCUUUAAUAAAACAUUCAUGUCCAAGCCCCAGAACUUCCCCUCUUACAUUUCUAUCACUUAUCUCUGCUACUGACUUCAGCUGUGGUUACUAUUUAGAAAAGUGAAAUAGCAAGCUAUACAUUCCAAGGAAGACACGAGAUUAAUGAAUGUGUACAACUGGGACCUGCUGCUCAUGAUUUAAAAUAUCAG